rnacentral:sRNA from 1 species
CAGAAGUCGUUCUAAGUUUAGGCCUGGU